rnacentral:lncRNA from 1 species
CUUGUAUUUGCUUAUAAAAGUCUCAGUUACAUAUUCCUGAAACUUUCCAUGCCUUUCAGCUAAAUGAGUUGACACUAAGCAAAGAUACUAAAUAAUGUAGAAAAUGCUGAUUGUGCAUUUAUAAACCAGAAAGCACUAAUAACUUUACCCAGAUAAUUUGAUACCUAUAUAAUAAAUAAAAUAAAAUUAAUUUUAUUCUACUUUAUUUUGUAGAUUUUUCUGAAAAAAAAAAAAAAAGAAGAGAACUACGUUCAGCAAGCUUUCUGCAUAAGAUGGCAUUAAGGAUUGAAAUGAACUUUGGAAAAACAUUUAAAGUGGCUUGGCAAGAGAAGAUGUUGAGGCCAAAUGCAAGAAGAGGGUUGUAACCCUGGGGAGACAUAUGUACUGCUGUGCAGAGUCACAUAAGAGAACUGUCUGGCACCACGUGGAAACAGAGGAACAUGUAGGCACAGUUUCCAGAAAGUCAAGUCCAGCCAUUGGAGCACUCAGAAGAGGGAACAGAAUGGGCACUUUGCAGUUGUCUCCUCUGCCCAAUAGCCGAAUGGACAAAUUCUUCUUUCUUCCUCUCCUGUUGUUGAUGAGGUUACCCGAUUACUCACCUGUGCCUGUAAGAACUUUCUGGACUACUCGAAGACAGAACAUAUAUGCCUAAAGUGCUUGCUGAAUAACCGACGACUAAGGAGAGAUCUUGCUAGAGGGAAGAGUCUGGAGGAAAGUAACAGAAAAACCAUCUUGAUUUUCCUGGGCUAGGUUUAAAGCUUAUAUUUUGGGCAGAGGAUGAUUACUUAUCAUGAUCUGGAGAGGGAUGUUUAGCUCAGAGACAGGACAUCAGCUAAUACAAGUAAUAUUCAAGAAAACUAUCUUGUAGGUGUUCACUUGAGCAGUAUUUAUGAAUGACUGUCUAUUUAAAUAAUUUCUGUUUUACUGCACAUUGUUACAGCUCCUGCAUUCUGAUAAUGAUGGUGUGCUAAUAUGAGCUAGCUGCUUGUAUAAGCUGCUUAUAAGUGCUCAUAUAAGCUGCUCAUAAGUGUUGUGGGGUGGGGAGACAUUAGUGGGGAACAUACUCUUCAUCGUGUAGAUGGUUUUUACUGUGUGUGACAAUUAACAGUGCUUUAGUCCAGAAGUUAAAAAGAAAAAAAAAAAGAAUCCCCCAGUCCUUUUAAAUUGUUAUUACAGCUUCAAGGGGCACAUGAGAAAGAAGGCUCCUCCUUUUGUGCAUAAAGAUUCUCAAAAUUGUUCUUGGGGUUCUGAACUCUCUGAGCUGCUAUGAAGUCUAAAAAAAGAAUGCUUUUGGUGCAGAGGAGAUAAACAAAAUUGGGGAGGAUAUUAAUAACCUGUGACUAAAUGCUAAGUGGGUUAUGAUUCUGACACAUUUAGAUAUGGUAGACAUUUAAGAUAUAAGCAUUGUCAGUCUAAUUAUUGCAAAAUAAUUACAACUGUUGAAGGUGAAGCUCAGGAAGUGUGAAGUGCAUUCAAGAAUUGGAGUUCCCUGGAGAUGUGAUUAGCUCACAAUCACCUUCCCUAGAGUUCUGCUAGGAGAUGUUUUGUGUAAGAAAAGAAAGGUCUGACAGAUAAACAGUGGUUUCGUCUGAGUUACAAAUUAUUACAGGCUGAUUGAUCUGAGUAGAAAACUGUCCAACAAAUCAAGAAUC